GGAAUAUUGGACAAUGGGCGCAAGCCUGAUCCAGCCAUCCCGCGUGCAGGAUGACGGCCCUAUGGGUUGUAAACUGCUUUUAUCAGGGAAGAAACUCCCGAAUUUAUUCGGGACUGACGGUACCUGAAGAAUAAGCACCGGCUAACUACGUCCCAGCAGCCGCGGUAAUCCGGAGGGUGCAAGCGUUAUCCGGAAUUACUGGGUUUAAAGGGUGCGUAGGCGGCGGCGUAAGUCAGAAGUGAAAGUUUGCAGCUUAACUGUAGAAUUGCUUUUGAUACUGCGUUGCUUGAAUUAGGUUGAGGUCGGCGGAAUGUGGCAUGUAGCGGUGAAAUGCAUAGAUAUGCCAUAGAACACCAAUUGCGAAGGCAGCUGACUGGACCUAUAUUGACGCUGAGGCACGAAAGCGUGGGGAGCGAAC
rnacentral:rRNA from 1 species